rnacentral:lncRNA from 1 species
CAAAAUUCAGUUUUUCUCCCUUUUUUUUAAGAGAUAGCAGAGAAACCCUCUGCUAGGGUUUCUUCCAUGCCGCCGCGGCCGCGCGAGCCAUACCACGGCCUCCGACGACGCCCCGACCUCCGACUGCGACGGAGGGGGACGAUUCGACGGUUCCGGCUAAAGGUAAAUCUUUUCCUUUCUUUUUUUUUGUUAUUUUAGGUAAAAUAAAACGAAAAUAAAAGGAAAAAUAAUAUACAUAUAUACAAAAAGAAACGAUGAACAAAGUAAAAACCUUCGAAAAAUAAAUUUUCUCUGUAUUUCUUUGCUAUUUCUUGUAUCUUUUCUCCAAAAACCCCCCCAUUUUACAGAUUUUCAAAGGCUUUUAUAGCCCGAAAAAAAAGAAAAAAAUAUAUCAAAUAUAAUGCUAUUUCUUUGCUAUUUUUUCUCCUUCGGAUUCUUUGAGUCCGUAUUCGCAGGUGAAAGUGGAGAGUUUGGCGCGCGUGGAGGCCGAAACGUGCGGCGAUCGGGCGUUGGGCGCGGCGUAGGGCUGUUGCGGCGCUAAGGCAGAUGCGGCUAGGGUUUUCCUCUUUUGUUUUUGUGUUUUGCUGUAUUGAUUAGUUUGGGCUGCUUUGUUGGGCUUGUAGAAAACUGGGUUGUGCCCCAUUGUUUAUUUCACACGGGCCCGGGCUAAUUUGGGCCUACUACACCCUUAACCUACAAAAUAAGAAUUAGGGCUAAAGUAACAAGAAAGGUAAAUAAUAGGAGCUAAAUUUAUUAUUUUGCCUAAAAUAGAAACAAACAUAGUUUAUUACAAAGGGUACAUUUGGAUACAUAAAGUAAUUGCACGAAAGUAUAAUAACAAAAUAUAAUUCUAUAGAUAUGUUUAGCUAACAGAGUGUAAUUACAUCGUAAUUCCCUAUAUCAUCUUUGGUAAUAUAAAAUAUAAUUACACAACUAAAUAAUUUUAAAUUCUAAGAACAAUAUUAAUUAUUAUAAAAAAUCAAUAGAAAAUUCUCCAAGCAGGUAACAAAACUUAAAAUUAAAUUAUUGUAUGUAAUAUAAUUACUAAUAAAUUUAAUAAGAAAAAUAAGCAUAUUAUGCGAUUUUAUCUAACUACU